rnacentral:rRNA from 1 species
AAGCUGCAGUAGGGAAUCUUCCACAAUGGGCGAAAGCUGAUGAGCACGCGCGUGUGUGAUGAAGCUUUAGGGUCGUAAGCACUGUGUAUGGGAAGAAAUGCUAGAAUAGGGAAUGAUUCUAGUCGACGGUACCAUACCAGAAAGGGACGGCUAAAUACGUGCCAGCAGCCGCGGUAAUACGUAUGUCCCGAGCGUUAUCCGGAUUUAUUGGGCGUAAAGCGAGCGCAGACGGUUGAUUAAGUCUGAUGUGAAAGCCCGGAGCUCAACUCCGGAAUGGCAUUGGAAACUGGUUAACUUGAGUGUUGUAGAGGUAAGUGGAACUCCAUGUGUAGCGGUGGAAUGCGUAGAUAUAUGGAAGAACACCAGUGGCGAAGGCGGCUUACUGGACAACAACUGACGUUGAGGCUCGAAAGUGUGGGUAGCAAACAGGAUUAGAUACCCUGGUAGUCCACACCGUAAACGAUGAAUACUAGGUGUUAGGAGGUUUCCGCCUCUUAGUGCCGAAGCUAACGCAUUAAGUAUUCCGCCUGGGGAGUACGACCGCAAGGUUGAAACUCAAAGGAAUUGACGGGGACCCGCACAAGCGGUGGAGCAUGUGGUUUAAUUCGAAGCAACGCGAAGAACCUUACCAGGUCUUGACAUCCUUUGAAGCUUUUAGAGAUAGAAGUGUUCUCUUCGGAGACAAAGUGACAGGUGGUGCAUGGUCGUCGUCAGCUCGUGUCGUGAGAUGUUGGGUUAAGUCCCGCAACGAGCGCAACCCUUAUUGUUAGUUGCCAGCAUUCAGUUGGGCACUCUAGCGAGACUGCCGGUGACAAACCGGAGGAAGGCGGGGACGACGUCAGAUCAUCAUGCCCCUUAUGACCUGGGCUACACACGUGCUACAAUGGCGUAUACAACGAGUUGCCAACCCGCGAGGGUGAGCUAAUCUCUUAAAGUACGUCUCAGUUCGGACUGCAGUCUGCAACUCGACUGCACGAAGUCGGAAUCGCUAGUAAUCGCGGAUCAGCACGCCGCGGUGAAUACGUUCCCGGGUCUUGUACACACCGCCCGUCACACCAUGGGAGUUUGUAAUGCCCAAAGCCGGUGGCCUAACCUUCGGGAGGAGCCGUCUAAGCAGACAAUUCG